rnacentral:lncRNA from 1 species
AGAAUUGUUACAGUCAGAAAAUUUAAAGCUUGAGUUGCAACGAUAACUUUGGGUAUCAAAUUGACAAGUUUUCUAUUUGAGUGGGCUUUAAGGUAAAUAAGAGCAAUUUGUGAACUGGUUGAUAAAAGGUUGGAUUUCAACCUUUAGUUCCGUUAUUUUUUAACUAGAAAUCCUCUUAAGGGGAGACAUGAUGAUGGGGG